rnacentral:rRNA from 1 species
UACAGAGGUCCCGAGCGUUUGUUCGGAUUCACUGGGCGUAAAGGGUGCGUAGGUGGCAUGGUAAGUUUGAUGUGAAAGCUCAGGGCUUAACCCUGAAAUGGCAUUGAAUACUACUGUGCUGGAGGUUUGGAGGGGGGACUGGAAUUCUUGGUGUAGCAGUGAAAUGCGUAGAUAUCAAGAGGAACACCAGUGGCGAAGGCGAGUCCCUGGACAACACCUGACACUGAGGCACGAAAGCUAGGGGAGCAAACAGG